CAGUAACGGCGAGUGAAGCGGCAACAGCUCAAAUUUGAAAUCUGGCCCCCCGCGGGCCCGAGUUGUACUUUGGAGAGGACGCUUCUGGCGCGGCGCCGUCCGAGUUCCCUGGAACGGGACGCCGGAGAGGGUGAGAGCCCCGUACGGGCGGCCGCCUAGCCUCUGCGAAGCUCCUUCGACGAGUCGAGUAGUUUGGGAAUGCUGCUCAAAAUGGGAGGUAAAUUUCUUCUAAAGCUAAAUACCGGCCAGAGACCGAUAGCGCACAAGUAGAGUGAUCGAAAGAUGAAAAGCACUUUGAAAAGAGGGUCAAACAGUACGUGAAAUUGUUGAAAGGGAAGCGCCUGUGGCCAGACUUGCGCCCCGCGGACCACCCGGCGCCUCGCGCGCCGGGGCACGCCAGCGGGGCGCAGGCCAGCAUCGGCUCUCUCGGGGGGACAAAGGCCGCGGGAACGUAGCGCCCUCGCGGCGUAUUAUAGCCCGCGGCGCCAUGCCCCCGGGGGGGCCGAGGACCGCGCUCCGGCAAGGAUGCUGGCGUAAUGGCCACCGGCGACCCGUCUUGAAACACGGACCAAGGAGUCAAGCAUUGGGGCGAGUGUCUGGGUGGCAAGCCCGCACGCGGAAUGAAAGUGAACGCAGGUGGGAGCUUCGGCGCACCACCGACCGAUCCUGAUGUCCUCGGAUGGAUUUGAGUAGGAGCCCCGCCGCUUGGACCCGAAAGAUGGUGAACUAUGCCUGUAUAGGGUGAAGCCAGAGGAAACUCUGGUGGAGGCCCGCAGCGGUUCUGACGUGCAAAUCGAUCGUCAAAUAUGGGCAU
rnacentral:rRNA from 1 species